UACGCCUGUAAAGAUAACAAAUGAAAACAGCUCAAACAGGUGAGUAAUAUCUCUACAGGUAUCAGGUGAGUAAUAUCUCUACAGGUAUCAGGUCUGUGUGAAUGGUUCUCUACAGGUAUCAGGUGAGUAAUAUCUCUACAGGUAUCAGGUGAGUAAUAUCUCUACAGGUAACAGGUGAGUAAUAUCUCUACAGGUAUCAGGUCUGUGUGAAUGGUUCUCUACAGGUAUCAGGUCUG